AACGAACGCUGGCGGCAUGCCUAACACAUGCAAGUCGAACGAGACCUUCGGGUCUAGUGGCGCACGGGUGCGUAACGCGUGGGAACCUGCCCUUAGGUUCGGAAUAACUCCCCGAAAGGGGUGCUAAUACCGGAUAAUGUCUUCGGACCAAAGAUUUAUCGCCUUUGGAUGGGCCCGCGUUGGAUUAGCUAGUUGGUAGGGUAAAAGCCUACCAAGGCGACGAUCCAUAGCUGGUCUGAGAGGAUGAUCAGCCACACUGGGACUGAGACACGGCCCAGAAUCCUACGGGAAGCAGCAGUGGGGAAUAUUGGACAAUGGGCGAAAGCCUGAUCCAGCAAUGCCGCGUGAGUGAUGAAGGCAUUAGGGUUGUAAAGCUCUUUUACCCGGGAUGAUAAUGACAGUACCGGGAGAAUAAGCUCCGGCUAACUCCGUG
rnacentral:rRNA from 1 species